GAUGAACGCUGGCGGCGUGCCUAAUACAUGCAAGUCGAGCGAACAGACGAGGAGCUUGCUCCUCUGACUUUAUCGGCGGACGGGUGAUUAACACGUGUAUAACCUACCUAUAAGACUGGGAUAACUUCGGCAAACCGGAUCUAAUACCGGAUAAUAUAUUGAACCGCAUUGUUCAAUAGUGAAAGUCGGUUUUUCUGUCGCUUAUAGAUGGAUCCGCGCCGCAUUCGCUUGUUGGUAAGGUAACUGCUUACCAACGCUACGAUGCGUAGACGACCUGAGAGGGUCAUCGGCUACACUGGAACUGAGAAACGGCCGAGACACCUACGGGAGGACACAGUCGGGAAUCUUCCGCAAUGGACGAAAGCCUGACGGAGCACAGCCGGGGGAGUGAUGAAGGACCUCGGAUCGUAAAACUCUGUAAUUAGGAAAGAACUAAUGUGUAAGUACCUGUGCUCGUAUUGACGGUACCUAAUCAGAAAGCCACGGCUAACUACGUG
rnacentral:rRNA from 1 species